rnacentral:rRNA from 1 species
GACGAACGCUGGCGGCGUGCUUAAUACAUGCAAGUCGAACGGAAAGGCCCUGCUUGCAGGGUACUCGAAUGGGGAACGGGUGAGUAACUCGCGGGUGAUCUGCCCUGCAUUUCGGGAUAAGCCUGGGAAACUGGGGCUAAUACCGGCUAGGUGCCAUUUUUAAACUGAUGGUUGGAGAGUUUUUUAGGUGUUGGCUGAGCUCGCGGCCUAUCAGGCUGUUGGUGGGGUAGUGGGCUACCAAGGGGGUGACGGGUAGGCGGCCUGAGAGGGUGGACGGGCACAAUGGGACUGAGAGACGGACCAGAAGCCAACGGGUGGCAGUAGAGGGGAGUAUUGCACAACGGGGCCGAGCGUGAUGCAGCGACGUCGCGAUGGGAAAGACGGGCUUCGGGUUAGGAACGCUGUUCGCUAUGGACGAAGCAUUUAGUGACGGUACCUAGAUAAGAAGCAACGGCUAACUACGUG